CCGUCUAUAUACGUAUAGCAUAUCAAUAAGCGGAGGAAAAGAAACUAACAAGGAUUCCCUUAGUAACGGCGAGUGAAGCGGGAAGAGUUCAAAUUUGAAAUCUUCAAGGUUCUACCUUGACGAAUUGUAGUUUAAAGAAGUGUUUUCUGUUAGAGGAGUAGGCAAAAGUUCCUUGGAAUAGGGACAUCAUAGAGGGUGAGAAUCCCGUAUUUGGUUACUUCUUUCUAGCUUUGUGAUACACUUUCAAAGAGUCGGAUUGUUUGGGAAUGCAGUCCAAAAUGGGUGGUAAAUUUCAGCUAAAGCUAAAUAUUGGCGAGAGACCGAUAGCGAACAAGUACCGUGAGGGAAAGAUGAAGAGAACUUUGAAAAGAGAGUUAAACAGUACGUGAAAUUGUCAAAAGGGAAGCGUUUGACACCAGUGUUGUUUUUCCGAAAAUCAAUUAAGAGUGGCUUGAUUUUGUGUUGUAUUGACCUUAUCAGCUUUCUUCACUCUUUUUCGAGUCUUUCUUAAUGCACUUUUCGGUUAACAAGUCAACAUCAAUUUCUUUUGUUGUAAAAGGGUAUUUGGAAGGUGGCUUUCUUUUCGGAGAAAGUGUUUAUAGCCUUAUACCUCUACAAUCGGAGAGAUUGAGGUCUGCAGCGUAGAUCCUUCGGGGCUAGAUACACUUGUGCUAAGUUAUAGCUUUUCAUAGACAACUUGUUGACUAUGUUUAGUCAUGUAGCUUACCCGCUUGUGCUAUUUUACCUACGCUUAGGAUGUUGAGUCAUCACACAUCUCU
rnacentral:rRNA from 1 species